CGGCCGAGGAGAUGGCAUAGACGAACGCAGCCUCCCUGCUGCCUGCCAGGAGAAACGGGGAUGGACAGUGAGUGUGCCAGGCGCCCGGCAAGGAGUAGGGCACCGUGCGGCAAGCGUGGAGCAAGACCAUCCUGCACACAGAUACCCAGAUCAGAGCAAACAUUAUCAGCGAGCGAAAGUGGAAGGAGAGAGCAGAGUGAAGGGCACCGACCGCCCAGAGAGCACCUCGCCGUGCCGCGUCCUGGACCCUCGCUGGGGUCAGCGCCUGCAUCUCCUCUGCCUGCGGCUGCAAACAAGCAGCGCGAUUGCUGCAGUGCCUCCUCCACCGGAGAUCGUGUACCACGAUCCACCCCACGACUGAUUGGCAAGUGCCACGGCACAACAAGGGGGGAAACGUGCCUUGGAAAGGCUGCGGCCAUCCCAGCGGGACCGCAAUCUUCCAUUUGGUGAGAGGUGGUCCCAUUGGGUUCAGUUAUUCUGAACUGGAGCGAGGCGGGGAAGAGCGGAAAAUUCUGCCAAGCAGAACUUUGGGAGGGAAAAAACCCAAACAUUUGUUUUGGAUUGGUUAGAGCAUCCCUUCGGAUUGUACUUCUAUGACAUUUUAGAAGCCCUGACACAGGGAAGACAAUGGCUAUUCCGAGAAAUCCCCUGCUGCCUUAUCAGAACUUCAUUUUUAAGAAAUGAAGCCGUGCUAGAAGUGGCAGAUUUCUGUGAAUUGCCAGACUCUUGGGGAAACUGCAUUUUUGCAGCAAAGAAAGAAAUAAUCCCAAGACUUGAGUUUGGAAAUGUCCAUGAGAGGGAAGCACUCGUGAUGCUGGAGGCUGCUCAGCCCUGGGCUGCUGUGUGGUCUGGAGAGGCAGGAGCAGCUUGUGAGAGCUGGGCAUCCCACAGCCCGGAGGAGCUGGGAGACAGGGGGUCAAUAAUUAAGGGGAUGAUGAUCCCCCACCCUGUGAAUAGGGUCCACGGGCUGCUGCCUCCUGUGAGCUCCUCUCUCAGUACCUGCUGAGCUCCUGCAUCGCCUCCCUCCUAAGGGCAGAGGAGCUCAACUCCGGCAGAGGGGCUGGUACCCGUCCUGCCGACAGCCUUUGGCUGGUGAUCCUGCAUCACUGCCUUCUUGCAAACCAGCCUGCAGUCCCGAAUGUGCUGUAUUCCCCAUCUACUCCUCAAGUUCAGGUGCCAUUGAGAUGGACGAGAGCUGCAGGGAGCUACAGAAUUACACGCUGAGAGAGUUGGGGUUGUUCAGCCUGGAAAAGAGAAGGCUGCAGGGAGACCUUAGAGUGGCUUCCAGCACAGAAAGGGGCUCCAGGAAAGCUGAGGAGGGGCUCUGGGUCAGGGAUUGAAGGGACAGGGUGAAGGGGAAUGGUUUUCAGCUGAAAAAGGGGAGAUUGAGAUGAGAUUUUAGGAAGGAAUAUUUUGCUGUGAGGGUGGGGAGGCCCUGGCCCAGGUUGCCCAGAGCAGUGGGGGCUGCCCCAUCCCUGGAGGGGUUCCAGGCCAGGUUGGAUGGGGCUUGGAGCCCCUGAUCCAGUGGGAGGUGUCCCUGCCUGUGGCAGGGGGUGGAACUGGAUGAGCUUUGAGAUCUCUCCCAACCCGAGCCAUGAUUCUAUGAAAUGCUGUGCUGCCACCCUGGCUCUGGAUCUUCCUCAUUCCCUGCGUGGAGCAAGUGAAGCAGCAAAGACUGGAGAUUUGGCAUUAUAAAGGCAGGUGCUUUCAGAGCUUGUGAGGUGAUGGAGGUGAAAGGCUCCUCGCUCCCUGCCAGCCUUCCUCCUCUCUUCAAGUCAACCUCUUGCCCGGCUGCAUCCACCGGUGCUGCUGGAGCAAGCUCUUCCUCGGCAGCGCGGGCGCGCUGGCUGCUCCGAAGUGCUGGGGGAACAGGAGACAACUCUCACAUGUUGGCUCCCACUUGUUUUUCUUGUUCUAAGAGCCUGCUGACUUCGACUCUUGUAAACAAGCAGAAACCCAAAUUGCUUCUAAGAUAAACAUGCAAAUCAGAGGCAGACACAUCUAUUUACUUGGCAGCGUGCGGGCUGGGCUGACCCCCUUCCACCGCUUGCCUCUGUGCUUGAUGUGUCCUGCUCCCGCGCUUCCCACGAGAGCCUGCCCGGCUUCCCCCAGGGCUGGCAGACUCCUCUGGGCGCUCUUGCCGAGCCCUGUGGCCCAUGGCGUCAGUUUAGGCUCCUCCAGGGAAAGUCUGAGCCUCUCAGAUCUUCUCUAUCCGCAGCGGUUCUGCUCCCUGUGGGUUAGGAGGGGAUCCCUGUGGUUGGACAUGGGUCCUGAGGUCCUCUGCAUUUCAUCCCAAGGAUCAGAUCCCAGUGUAUCCUUUCUCUCUCCAUCUUUACCGUGCUGGAAUCUUGUUCUGGAUCGAUAAACUGGGCUUUUGGCACUGACAGAGCAUGCAGGUUCCUGGUUGCCGAGCUCUUGAACAGGAAAGCCCACCAGGCUUGGGAAAAGAACCGUCCAUCAGGUGUAACGGUGGGUGACCAAGAGCACGGCCAGAGCCUACAGCACCUUAACAACAGGCAGAUGGGAGUUUCUGCUGCCAGAGAGAGGAGACCUCUCUGGCAGCGUUGGCCAGCCUGCCCCAGAGGCAUCGGCAGGAGCCUCCCAGGUGAGCAAACCAGCCAUGGGGCUGCCGAGGGGUUCCUCCAGCUCCCAGGAGCACCAGGCUGUGUUUGUGGGGUGUCCUGGGCCCACCGAGCUACAAAUAAUUCACCUUGAUGUUGCCAGUCCACAUCCAUCUGGAACGUGUCAGCAGCCUCAUCCACUUGCUGGUUGGUUGGAUGAUCCCCAGGGUCUCGGCUGGUGGGAUGUGGGCAUCCACAUGACAUUCCUUUAUGAGUAGUCCAUCUAGCCGGGCAGCAAAGAAGGUGGCUCCAUCCUCGGGAUCCCUCAGUUUUGUCCCAAGUAUGAGGUAUAUGGGAUGUUGGUCAGCUUGGAGUCACCUCUGCUGUUGGAUCCUCCCUGUAGACGCCACCCUUUCUCUCCCCUUUCCCUUACGGCUCCACCAGUUCCAGGAUGGGCUUGAUUUCUACAGGAAUAAGGAUAAGCAAUGGCCUUUGUGCAUCCAAGUGCCCCAAGUUAUCACUGCUAAAGAGAAACACUGUCUGAAAACAGAUGUUGACUUCCAGAAAAUGAAGUUACGUAGAUGAGGCUUAGAUGAAAAGUUAGAAACUGAUUCUACACACCAGAACAAGGGGGCUUAGAGGCUGCUCUGCAAAACCAGUGGUCAGAGGGAACCACGAAACCAUGACUCUGAAGAUAAAUAGGGAAGUAUUUCUUCAAAGUAAGAUGAUAUUAAAGAUACUGUUGAUCAGGGAGUGCAGGGAUGGGACGAGGGGGAAUGGUUUUCAGCUGAAAGAGGGGAGAUUGAGGUGAGAUCUUAGGAAGAAAUGUUUUGCUGUGAGGGUGGGGAGCCCCUGGCCCAGGUUGCCCAGAGCAGUGGGGGCUGCCCCAUCCCUGGAGGGGUUCCAGGCCAGGUUGGAUGGGGCUUGGAGCCCCUGAGCCAGUGGGAGGUGUCCCUGCCCAUGGCAGGGGGUGGGACUGGAUGGGCUUUGAGGUCCCUUCCAGCCCAACCCAUUCCAUGAUUCUAUGAAGAUCCUGCAAAGGGGAAUUCAUUUCCCUUCAUAAGUAACCAGCCCCUGCAAUGCAGACCUGGGGCACCUCCAGGUGGUUUUGGUAACUCAGCACUGAUGGCAGUAAUUACGUUUAAUUGCUAAACCUCUCCUGGCUGACCUGGUGCUUUCAGGGAGCAGCUUUCCAAUCCUGAAGAGGCAACGGUGGUGAAGCCCAGUGUGUAUCCAGCUCUGACCAUCACCAUCCUCCUGCUGAACAGCUUUUCUCCAGGACUCGAAUCGUGGAAUUGUGUACUCAGGUAGAUUGGAAGAGAACUUUAAGAUCAUCAAGUCCAACCGCUAACCUGAGCCUGCCAACUCUACCACUAAACCAUGUCCCUAAACAUCACACCCAUGAGUCUUCCAAAUUUUGAUGCUUUCCUCAACCAGACCUGACUGACAGCCCAAGGACUAUCCCCUGGAUUUCCCAGGGUUUGUGUCCGGCUGUCCCUCAUCUGCCAGAGCAACCCUCGCUCCUCCAACUCCAACUCAGCCGGGCAGACUCGCAUUUGAUCUUUCAUUCAAAUGAGCAGCGCGUUGGGGAUGUCUGGGUGCUUCGUCCACAUGAGCUGCGGUCCGUCACUCUGGAGACUCUCUGCGUUCUGGAGGUGGUGGCUGGGAAGCCAGGGCUGUGUGGCUCUGUGUCGCGCCUGGUGCGGCACGGAGCUGCGGGGACAGCCCGUGCUUCUGUGACCCCAGGAGAAAAGCAUGGCAUGGAAACGUGCAGGAAGAACUACGGAAGAGGUAGCAUCCUGAUUGGGCUCGGAGCAACCUGAGGUAGUUAAGUGUCCCCGAUCCUGCGUGGGUGUUGGACUGGAUGACCUGAAAAGGUCCCUUCUAACCCAAAGCAUCUUCUGAUUCUACGUCCCAGCCGGCAGCAUCCUUGGGCACCAUCGGGCAGCGUUUGCACACAAAGAACGUGUGCCACGUCUGUGCCUGCUCUGCUCAAGUGUCCCCCUCUUCUCAGGAAGGCAAAGGCAGCGUGGCUGUGCUCUCUGCCCCUGGGUGAGGGUGCUGUGCCCCGGGAGCGGCAGCGCUUGCUCUCCAUCCCCAUCUGUCCCUGUGCCGUGGCGCUGGAUUCCCUCUGGGAUCGAGCAGGUGCUGGGGCUGCGCCAGGAGCGUGCGGUGCUAGAGGGGAUUGCAGAGGGAUCACUGCCACUCCGAAAUGCCCGUGGUGGGUGCAGCGGGGAAGCUGACCUUUCGCGUUGAUAGCCCCAGGAAUAACUGGGAGCCUUGCAUAAUCACAGCUGCCUGGAACCCCGAGGGGAAAAAAUCACUGUCCCGGGAUAACCCGCAGCGCCAGGCCUGCUGACCUCAUGGGAAACCUGUUUUCGGAGGCAACAAAGCCCUGUUGUAAACAUAUUUAUGUGGAACUUGUUUGAGGAUGGAUAAUGUGGCCCGAGCGAGCUCCUGGACUUGGGUUGAAGGGCUCACGGAGGUGCUGGCAGGAGCUGUGCACCAGGAACAGCCUCUGCCGUGCUCAGCUCCUCUUGGUUAUGACAGAAAGGUCUAUUAUCCUCCAAAAGAACAACUCCCAGUGUCUGAGCAGUCCCCGAUUCACCCUGGCUAUCUCUCCGAGGUCUGAGAGGCCAAAAAUACCUUUUGGAUAUUGACCUAUUGACGAAUUGACCCUUCCGAAUGGCUUCCACCACCGUAGAAACAGGAGCCAAACAACCAGGCAGGAGUCAGCCCUCCUAGGAGAGCGAUGGCCCAUGCUUUGACUCUGUCUCCUGGUUCUCCUGUUAAUUGCUUUGUUAAUUGCUGUGGACAUGCAGCGCCCGGCUUUGCAGCCACGUGGUGUUGGUAGCCUUUCACGGUUAGACCUGUGUUUCCACCCGGGAGGCUUUGUGCCUUCCUGGAGGCGUUUACCAGAUGUGGUGCCUUGGGAAGAGCUGGUUUCCCAUCGUGGGAUGCAUCCUGCAUCGGUGUGGAUGCAACUUCAUCCCUCCCUUCCCUCCUGGGCUCCUCCCGGGCUCUGGGACGCAGCUCGGUGUGCACAAGCGACCCGGUACGGAUUGAUUGCCCUGAAUCCAACUGCGUUAGCCUUAAAAGUCCCCAAAAGGCCCAAACCGGUGCAGUUACACCUAAAAACACCCACGCCUUGCCAAGCAGCCCAGGUUUCCAUCAUCCUCCAGAGGCAUCUGUGUAUUGUGUGUGCAGCGCAGAGAGAAACCGGGCUGGUUUCUGGGGAGAAAGCGGCCAUAAAUCCUGCCGGCCGCCGCUCUCGGCUUCUCCUCCCGCCGGCCGUGCCGGUGCUGUCUGGCAGGCGCGAGCCCCGCUGUCAUCGGCAGAUCAGACGGGGCUGAGAUUUGACAGGCCUGUGGAAAAACACGGGGUGACAUCCCGCAGAGACACCGGCCCGCUGAUUAAUCUCCGAGGUCGGCGGCUGCGUUAUUUAUAACCAGGCGAGGGUUGGAGGUGGGUUUUUACGGGAGCGGAGCAGCGUGGGGUGCCUGUUCCAUGUCCCGGGAGCGGUUGCCUUCCCGCAUCCAUGGGGUCACCUCCGGACACUGAAACAGGGCUCGGGAGCACCAAAGCUGAGCCUAAAUCAGUGUAGGAGCACUAGAGCCCAGCUGGAGGGACCAACACCUCUGCGGCACUGGUGCAUCCCGUCCCAGUUUCCAGCUCUUUGCAUUGCUCCUGGAGUUCUUCCUUGCCCUCCCUAGGAGGGGCAGCUUGGAUCCCCCUGAAACACAACACAUCAAGCUUGAAACACUGUGUGAAACUCUGUCAGACUUCGAGGGAAUGGGGGCACAGACACAUUCUGCAGCUUUGUUUUCAAAACAACCUUCCCCAUUUCCAAUGACUUUUUGUUCUCUUCUUGUUAACACGUGCGUUCUGCUUUACAGUGCAAAAUAAAAUUACAACUAAAAUAGUAUAUUUAGAGUUUAUCAGCCGAAGCAUUUCAAGCCAUCCAUCUCUCUAGCUUUUCUUUUGCAGAUAACCUGGAAAACUUUGAGGCGGGUGACGCUGAAUUGGAACAGAAAGUGGUUUCAAAAUGUUUUGUGAAGAUAGAGCUUCAUCUCUGUUGCCAAGUGGAACCUGCACUGGGCACUCCUCUGCUCCCAGGGCUCCCGGACAGGGAGAUGGAGGGUUGUUUGCCUGGAUGGAGAUGAAACCACCCAGCUUGGCUGGCCCAGAGCUGCGGGACCCGAUCCCUGAUGGCACGGCGGCUCCGCUGGCUCACUUGGCGCAGGCAAGCUGUGAGUUGCCUUUUCCUUUCUGUUGGGAGCCCAUUCUGCUGCCAGCGCGGUGCGCAGCCCUGUGGGAUCUUGCAGCCCUUUGGAAUCGAGCUGCUGCGGAGCCUCCAGCCACGUCGCAGGGUGAUGCUCUGCCUCCCCAGGCCUGCUGUGAGCAGCGCAGAUCCGACCUUUCCCGGUUGCACGCUCCCUGUCGCAGCCCCGAUGUAGUCACCGAGUCCGGAUGAAUCUCCGCUCGCAGCGUUGCAGCUGGAUGUGGUGGAGAAUUUGGAAGGAGGAAGAGAAGGUGGAAUAAGCAAGGAAGAACGGAGAGCCUGUGGCUCCAAACUAGGACAAGAAAGGCACCACACAUAGCUCUAACCUUAUCUUCGAGGAUGGAUUUAAGUGCCUCUUCAGUGACUCAUAUUCCCUGAAUGGGCUUGGAGGACUGUCUGCCCAGAGGAAGAGCCGGAGAACGCCGGAUCAGAUAACCGUUGCCAGCCUCUCUGAAAUCCAACAAGGAGCCAGGGCAGCAAGCUGUGCUUUCAGCCUCGGCGUGCCAAGAACACAGCGUUUGCCUCGAUGACCUACGUGCGCUGCGUUGGGAGCCAGCGUGGGGCAGCAGGAGCUAUUGUGGAGACCUGCAGGCUGGAGCAGGUCUGCCCAGAGUUGAUGAUGCUCAUAGGUGUGCACACGGCUGUGUGAAGAAGGAGAUGCUUGUAACUCCCGAAAUACCUGUUAAUGCCAAAAAGGUCCCGGAGUUUUAUUUCCUUCCACACCUCCCGAUCCCUUCAAAGGGUCUGUGUUGAGCACGCUGACUUUGUUCCCCGGCUGGCAGGAGGAUGCUCCAGGUCAAGUCUCUUGUGCAAGGUAUGUUUUGAAACAUCUUUUCCCCACCCCAGAGCAGCUACGGACCUUUCAAUGUACAAAAUAAUUUUUCCAGCUAUUUUGGCAAAGAGAAGGUUUGAGCAAAGAUUUCCUUCGAAACUUUAAAGAGCUUUUAUCUCUCUUUUUUUUUUUUUCUUUCUGUGGAAGCAAAAGUCACUUCCCACUCCUGCUCCUCCGAGGGGGGCGUUCCAGCUGGGAUGGCUCUCGCACACCCAGCUCCAUCCCGCUGUCAGGGCACUGUCCUCCGCUUGAUCUUCCCGGAGCCUUUCAAAGCCAUGAUCUGUGUUUACGCAGUGGUGCACCCUUGCCCGCUCCUCGCUGGUAGGCCAACAUCUGAGGACAUAAAACCCUGUCCAUGCGCUGCGAUGGAUGCACAUGUCCAGGGAGGUCUUCCCUGGAGUUUAGUUUGGGUCUUUCCUUCCUUCCUUCCUUUCUGAACGAAAGGGAUGGGUUCCUGGGAGUCGGGACU